CAAAUUAGAGCUUGUUAGGAAGUUUUUUAUUUACAUUAAAAAGUUGUUGUGCGAAUCAAUGUAGUUUGA
rnacentral:tRNA from 2 species